AAGUCGUAACAAGGUCUCCGUUGGUGAACCAGCGGAGGGAUCAUUACCGAGUACCAUAACUCAUAACCCUUUGUGAACCUUCAUACCUGUUGCUUCGGCGGCGCGCCUCUCGGGGCGUGCCCGCCGGCAUUAUCAGAAUCUCUGUUCGAACCCGACGAUACUUCUGAGUGUUCUAAGCGAACUGUUAAAACUUUCAACAACGGAUCUCUUGGCUCCA
rnacentral:misc_RNA from 1 species